CGUAAAGAACCUGCCUCAUAGACUGGGACAACUAAUUGGAAACGAUAGCUAAUACCGGAUAACAGUAUUUCUCGCAUGAGAGAUAUUUAAAAGUUGGUUAUGCUAACACUAUGAGAUGGCUUUGCGGUGCAUUAGCUAGUUGGUGGGGUAAAGGCCCACCAAGGCGACGAUGCAUAGCCGACCUGAGAGGGUGAUCGGCCACACUGGGACUGAGACACGGCCCAG
rnacentral:rRNA from 1 species